AACAGGAAAGUGAGGAGGAAUCAAACCUCUGCUGCCAUACCACUUACCAUUGCGGACGGCGAAAUUCCAGUAAACAAAAGGAAAGAAGUCCUUCUUAAGGUGAUAAAACAUGCGACGAGGUACAGUUUGGUCAAGGAAACGAGAAAAGCGACCGAAAGAUUCUUUAGGUUCUUGUUUGUACAAGAAUUCGGCCAAGAUAAGCUUACCAUAGCCAGUGAGUAGCGGGCAUGAAGUGUAACCAUUGUAUGAUGCAGUUAAAUUCUUUCCAUUAACGAAACUCCAAAGAUUGUGGACCAUAACAGGAGCUUGUGCAGUAAUGGCAGCGUAAGUCUUACUAGUUGGCAAACCACUGCAAUCACCGAUAGCGAAAACAUUGGGGAACUUGGUCGAUUGUGUAGUAGAUUGAUCAACAGCAACAAAACCAGAUUUAUCAGCCAAAUCACUCUUUGCGAUAAACUCAUGAGAACGCAUAGAGGGGACGGCAUGCAAAAGAUCAAAAGGACGCUCGAAGAGAGAGCCAUCGUUUAAAUUCUUAAAUACGGCUUUACGUUCAGAUCCCUUAACUUCAACAAGCUCAUCUUUAUAAUUAAUCUUGACAUUGCGAUGUAAUUGCUCAUUUUGGCGAAGAAGGGCAUCAGAAUAGCGCUUAACCGAGAAAAGAGUAGGCAUACCAGUGUAGAAGGAUACAUCAAUAUUGGAACGAACUUUAUGACGACGCCAAUAAUCUUCAGCCAUCCACAUAAUCUUUUGUGGAGCGCCGGCACACUUCAAGACACCGCUGGGUUGAGUAAAAAUGGCAUUUCCAGACUUGGUUUUUUCAAUCCAAGGAUAAACAGCGUCAGCAUAUUUUUCUGAAUAGAUAGUAACUA